rnacentral:rRNA from 1 species
AUACGUAGGGGGCGAGCGUUAUCCGGAAUUAUUGGGCGUAAAGAGUACGUAGGCGGUUCUGUAAGCGUGAGGUGAAAGCCCGGGGCUUAACUCCGGUAAGCCUUUCGAACUGCAGGACUUGAGGGCUGGAGGGGGAAGGGGAAUUCCUAGUGUAGCGGUGAAAAGCGUAGAUAUUAGGAGGAACACCAGUGGCGAAGGCGACUUUCUGGACAGUAACUGACGCUGAGGUACGAAAGCGUGGGGAGCAAACAGGAUUAGAUACCCUGGUAGUCCACGCCGUAAACGAUGAGCACUAGGUGUCGGGGCAGCAAUGUUUCGGUGCCGCAGUUAACGCAAUAAGUGCUCCGCCUGGGGAGUACGCACGCAAGUGUGAAACUCAAAUGAAUUGACGGGG